GAAGGAUCAUUACCGAGUGUAGGGUUCCUAGCGAGCCCAACCUCCCACCCGUGUUUACUGUACCUUAGUUGCUUCGGCGGGCCCGCCAUUCAUGGCCGCCGGGGGCUCUCAGCCCCGGGCCCGCGCCCGCCGGAGACACCACGAACUCUGUCUGAUCUAGUGAAGUCUGAGUUGAUUGUAUCGCAAUCAGUUAAAACUUUCAACAAUGGAUCUCUUGGUUCCGGCAUCGAUGAAGAACGCAGCGAAAUGCGAUAACCAGUGUGAAUUGCAGAAUUCCGUGAAUCAUCGAGUCUUUGAACGCACAUUGCGCCCCCUGGUAUUCCGGGGGGCAUGCCUGUCCGAGCGUCAUUGCUGCCCAUCAAGCACGGCUUGUGUGUUGGGUCGUCGUCCCCUCUCCGGGGGGGACGGGCCCCAAAGGCAGCGGCGGCACCGCGUCCGAUCCUCGAGCGUAUGGGGCUUUGUCACCCGCUCUGUAGGCCCGGCCGGCGCUUGCCGAACGCAAAUCAAUCUUUUUCCAGGUUGACCUCGGAUCAGGUGGGAUUACCCGCUGAACUUAA
rnacentral:rRNA from 1 species